AGUGAGCGGUUCAAUUCGCAGCGCAAUUAGCAGUUCGUCCUCUUUCCCGCAAUGGCACUAGAGGAGAGAGGCAGACUAAAUGAGAAUUGCAGAUAACAGUGCCUGUCUGGUUAUAUGUUUUGCUACACAGAGAGAGAGGCACAGGAAAUAAAUCUUCCCGCCAAACCAGCUUUUGUGUGGAAAAUCCUUAUUUACCAUCAAAAAUUAACACAACGCAGAGGAACAGCCGCUACAAUUGCAGUGGACCUUUUUUCACCAA